rnacentral:rRNA from 1 species
UACGUAGGUGGCAAGCGUUGUUCGGAAUUAUUGGGCGUAAAGGGCGCGUAGGCGGUUUGUUAAGUCAGCUGUGAAAGCCCGGGGCUCAACCCCGGAAGGGUCAGCUGAUACUGGCAGGCUAGAGUACAGAAGAGGUAACUGGAAUUCCCGGUGUAGCGGUGGAAAUGACGUAGAUAUCGGGAGGAACACCUGAGGCGAAGGCGGGUUACUGGGCUGAUACUGACGCUGAUGCGCGAAAGCCAGGGGAGGCAAACGGG